UACGGAGGGUGCGAGCGUUAUCCGGAAUUACUGGGUUUAAAGGGUGCGUAGGCGGCUUUGUAAGUCAGGAGUGAAAGUUUGCGGCUCAACCGUAAAAUUGCUUCUGAUACUGCAUAGCUAGAAUUAGGAUGAGGUCAGCGGAAUGUGGCAUGUAGCGGUGAAAUGCAUAGAUAUGCCAUAGAACACCAAUUGCGAAGGCAGCUGGCUAGACCUGGAUUGACGCUGAGGCACGAAAGCGUGGGGAGCGAACAGGAUUAGAAACCCUAGUAGUCC
rnacentral:rRNA from 1 species